rnacentral:rRNA from 1 species
UAAUACGAAGGGGGCAAGCGUUGUUCGGAAUUACUGGGCGUAAAGGGCGCGUAGGCGGUCGGCCGCGUCAGAUGUGAAAGCCCCGGGCUCAACCUGGGAACCGCAUUUGAAACGGGUCGACUCGAGUUCGGGAGAGGAUAGUGGAAUUCCCAGUGUAGAGGUGAAAUUCGUAGAUAUUGGGAAGAACACCGAGGGCGAAGGCAGCUAUCUGGACCGACACUGACGCUGAGGCGCGAAAGCGUGGGGAGCAAACAGGAUUAGAUACCCUGGUAGUCCACGCCGUAAACGAUGAGUGCUAGCCGCUGGGGGGCUUGCCUUUCGGUGGCGCCGCUAACGCAUUAAGCACUCCGCCUGGGGAGUACGGCCGCAAGGUUA